AUUGAACGCUGGCGGCAUGCUUUACACAUGCAAGUCGGACGGCAGCACAGAGAAGCUUGCUUCUUGGGUGGCGAGUGGCGAACGGGUGAGUAAUAUAUCGGAACGUACCGAGCAGUGGGGGAUAACUAAUCGAAAGAUUAGCUAAUACCGCAUAUAUUCUGAGGAAGAAAGCAGGGGACCAUUUGGCCUUGUGCUGUUUGAGCGGCCGAUAUCUGAUUAGCUAGUUGGUGGGGUAAAGGCCUACCAAGGCGACGAUCAGUAGCGGGUCUGAGAGGAUGAUCCGCCACACCGGGACUGAAACACGGCCCAGACUCCUACGGGAGGCAGCAGUGGGGAAUUUUGGACAAUGGGCGCAAGCCUGAUCCAGCC
rnacentral:rRNA from 1 species